AGUAACCGACGGGGUAUGAGGGGGAGGUGGGGCAUUAGCGGAAGUUAGAGAAGUCAAUGUUCAUGCCAUCAGGUUGGAGGCUACCCAGACGGAAUAUAAGGUGUUGUUCCUCCAACCUGAGUGUGGCUUCAUCUUUACAGUAGAGGAGGCCGUGGAUAGACAUGUCUGAAUGGGAAUGGGAUGUGGAAUUAAAAUGUGUGGCCACUGGGAGAUCCUGCUUUCUCUGGCUAGCACUUUGAUUUAUCAGUGUUUGAUACAGGGAACAAUUUAUAAGAGCUAAAAUAAUUCAUUUGCUGAAUGUUAAAGGUGCUAUCAUGUUACAAUGUUUUAAUUAUGAAUGGGAAUUAGAUAAAAGAAACAUCCAAAGAAAUGUAGUGCAAGAAAUUCAUACUGAUAAUAAACAUUUAGCAAAUGAAUUUGGCUACCAGUCUUCACAUCUGAAAAUGUGCAUUUAAUUUGGCGUGCAGCUCUGAACAAUGAGUUCCUAAAAGCUGUGAAUCGCAGUCCAGCCAAUGCUGAUUAAAAUUCAUUUGGAUGCCUGUAGUGUGGAUGCAAAUCAAGAGGUGUGAAGAUUGUAUGUAGUUUCAAAGAAAGCAUUAUUCCUAUAUUAUAAAUAUGGAGUUCUCCUUUGAUGUUUAGCACAUAAAAUAUAGAGCCCUAUCUUGGGUCAGCAGAUCUUUCCACCGAAAGCAUCUCCAUAUGAUGCCUGCUGUACCUUGUUUCAUCGAAUAAAGAAGCUGCUUUGUUUCUACCAGUGAUUUCAUUCACACAACAUUAUUUGGUGUCAGAAGUGGGAUACCUUUGUGACGCAUCAUGUGGCCAGCAAUCUUGGGCAGUCUAAGUGGGUGAGUAUUUAAAAAAAAAUGCUCGGGUCGGUGGUACACAGGAACACGAGGAAUCAUGAACACAGGGAACUGAACUGGUAGAGAUAAAUGUGGUAUGUGUACAUGUGCAUGUGUGUUUUUCUAAGAGAGGAAACUUUGUGUGUUAGUUUGAUGAGACGGAAUCACCAACUGCAAAGGGUGGUUAUCGACAGUUCUGAUCGGCAGAGUGGAGAUGUGUAUACUCGUUCGGGGAGCUGCAUUUUAGUGUACAUGCUUUGCGAGUGUGAUGCAAGGCAGUACAGCAGGCACCAUGAGUUCAGGUUCUGAAAAGUGGCAGAUUGUAGGGUACAUACUCAGCAGUUUUACGUAUGUGCUAUUUAAGUGGUAUCCAUCAUUUAUAUUUUGUGUAGUGUGGGAGUUGGUGUGGAGAUAUUUCAGGGAGGGGUUUUACCCAGAUAUAUCUGCCAGGAUGGCACCCAUUGAGUGCAGCCAACAUCAGGUUAAGAACCCUAACGAUCCGAGCCAGCCUUUGACCUUGAUUACGGCCAUUCAUAAGCCCUUCACCCCAGGGAAGAAACAGCAUUUUGUCGGAGUUGCCCUCACUUAAAGUCGCAUGUGGGAAUUUGGAAUUCUGGCGCAAGAAAUUCUGUUGAAUUUCACCAGAUGUAUACCUAAAGCUAUACACACGUUGGUAAAAAUGAAGUGCGCAAGCAAUAUGUGGGACAGGAUGGCCCAGGGGGUGCGGGAUGGUACCUGGGCAACUACUGGGCAUACCAGCCAUGAAGAAAGAUAUCGCUCUUUUAAAGGGGAGGAGAGGCAGCAAUUGGGGGGAAGUGAGAUAACUGGGGAACGAUAACAACAAUGAUUCAAAAAGCUGAUGAGACAGGCAUGGAUUAUGCAGAACAAGAAUAUCAAGCGUGUGGGGAGUAUUCUUGAGGGUGAGGGUGUGAGGUUGGAGCUCAGGAGGACGAUGGCACCUAACGGCAACUCCUUUGCUUGCAUCUUCGGAAGCAGCUCUAUUUUUAUUUUUGAUAUCUCUUUUUUCCCCCUUUCAGGGUUCUUUUGAAGACCCUGACCUGGAAUUACAUGCUAACUUCAGUUCUUUGUGGGAAUGGGACCCACUCUCCAGGUCUCACGACUGGCCGUUGUUCGAUAUACCAAGGACGCCUGGGAUAUUAACGCUUCUUCGGUGUUUCAGGAUUUCGUGGCUCUGGAGGCAGGCAGACACGAGAUCAGUACCUCUGCAGGAAAUCGGUGUGUCAUGGGAGAUGGAAGAUCGAAAGCAGCCAGCAGGUUGUGGCACAGAGACCCGAGUUCUUUGGGGACAGAGUUUGGAAAAAGCAACGCAACAGACUUUUAAAAUCAUAAAUCAAUAAAAUAUAGAAGAAGAGACUCAAAAAAUACAGUAGGUUAACAGAGAACCAAGACAGGACAGAAUUCCACAAUCAGAGGAAAAGAUCUUGGAAUUCUUUACCCAAGAGACUGUGGAACCUCCAUAUUUCCUCAAUGAGCAAGACAAUUGAAUGUGCUGGCUGUGAGAUGGAAGCGGCUGAAACAGUUUAUGGUUGGGUGACUGGUGUCCCCGAUGAUUUUCCAGGCCUUCUUUAUGCACCUGCUGCUGUAAAUGUCCUCAGUGGAGGGAAGUUCACAUCCACAGAUGCGCUGGGCUGUCUGUACCACUCCCUACAGUGCUCAGAGAUCAAGUAAUAUGAUCUUAUGCAAGAAGCAUAUCACCACUCACCAAGCUUUGGAAAUUUAGUUGAACUCUGGUAGGAAGAAACAAUAAUGUACAGAAGAAAAUUAUUGUAAUAUGGAACUCACUGCUUGUACAGAUGACAGAAACACUCAUCAUCGGAGCUUUCAAAAUGGAAAUGAAUAGGCAUGUAAGAAAUGAAUUUGUCUACAAAUAUUCUUACAUGCUUAGUAUGCAAAAUAGUCAAUGAAAUUACAGUAAACAACAGGAAUUCUGCAGAUGCUGGAAAUUCAAGCAACACACAUAAAAGUUGCUGGUGAACGCAGCAGGCCAGGCAGCAUCUCUAAGAAGAGGUGCAGUUGAUGUUUCUGGCCGAGACCCUUCGUCAGGACUAACUGAAGGAAGAGUGAAAUUACAGUAUUUAUUAUGAUAAGGACUUUUGCUCAUAAUACUUUUGUAUUUAGAAUAGAACAUCAAAUAUUACAGCACAGUACAGGCUCUUUGGUGAUUUAACAACAGUGUUAGGUGAAUAAGCCAUCCUAAGAAAAACCAGAGAAGAGAUGUGAUUGAAGUUUUUAAGAUUAUGAGAGGCAUUGAGAAACAGCCAAAUCUUUUUCCUAGGUCUGAAAUGUCUAAUACAAGGGGGCAUGCAUUUCAGUUGAAAGUUCAAAUAAGAUGUGCAGGGCAAGUAUUUGACACAGAGAGUGAUGGGUACCUAAAAUGUGCUAGGAGGAGUAAUGGUGAAUACAGAUACAACACAGGUGUUAAUAGCCAUUUAGAUAUACAUGAAUAUGCACAGAAUGGAGGGAUAUGGACUAGGUGCAGGCAGAAGGGAUUAGUUUAGUUUAAUUAGUUCAGCAUGACAACAUAGGUCGAAACACCUAUUGUUGAGAUGCACUGUUCUAAUAAAUUCUCAAAGCACGGUAGUUACGUCCCCCCUAAUUAAAGAGGCAACCUGCUCUUCUCUCUUACUUAUACCACUAUAACACCUGUAGCACCUGUACCCUGGAACAGUGAGAACAUCGAACCUGGGAAGAACAGCCCUUCCAUCCAUGACAUUUGAAAUAAAUGAAGUUUGAACCAUUCUUUGAUGUGCUCCUCACUGUGCUAUUAAAUAAUGUGCUCUCAUCAAUUGUAGUAUUUUCCCCGAUUUGUCACUUGCCUCAAAUCUGCUCAGGGUCUCAGUGCACCCCAUGUCAAUCUAGUUGAAAUCCACCCUAGUAGCUAUCAGCCUUCCUAUUCCAAUGUGACAGGGCUUCCACUGCAUACGUGACCAUUGGCCUUCAGUGUCGCUACCACCAUAGCAGUAUCUGGAAAGGCUGCAGAACAUUAAAUCCUUUUAUAUCAGAUAUCGUCAAGAGUAAUUUUUCACUUUCACUGGGUAUCUGAACUUCCAAUUAAUAAUCUUAAUUUAAUAACAAUGUAAUAACAAUGUAUUUGCAAGAGCAGCAAUUUGGGAUAUUUCUCAGGCACCAGAUAAGGUAAAAUCAAAAUGGAAGUUCUAUUUACCUUACUUUAUGACCAAAAAUUUACUUUUAAAUGUUCAUAAUGCUUAUUAAUUGAUGUUUGGGGAGAAGACCCCCAGUACGGAAAGCAGUUGCAAAUGAUUAGCCCUUUAGUGCAAAUCCUAUUCGGUUUUCAAGUUUCAGUGUAGAUGCUAAAACCAGUAAAACUGUGAAUUCAGCAUUAAAUUUCUUUAAAAUAAUUUGCUAAGGCUUUCAAAGUCACUAGCUUAAUAUGAAAUCCAAUCCUUAGGCUCCUAUAAAAAGGAUGCUGCCACUGCAUCAGGAACAUGAGUAUCCUGCAGUGAUCAGAAUCAUUGCUGAGGUUAGACUUUCUUGACUUCUGUACAAUAUUGCAGGAAGAUAAAAGAAAUAAGAUGGUUUUGAGGCUAAGGAUGAUAAAAGAAACAGUCAAAGAAAACUAUCUCCACAUCAGACCCUUUCUGAAUCAAAUAAAAAUAAGCAUUUGUUUAUAGUGUGGAUUCCAGUUAAUUAUGCCUUCGGUUAAUCAGGGCAGCCACAUAUUUGGGACAAUUCUUAAAGACCAGAAACAAAUCAAACAAUAUCUGGGAUUCCCUUUGUUUAUUUGGGACACAUGCUGCUUAAUUGAGGCAGAAGACUGUUGCCAAAAUUUACUAACUAGCAUCAGUCUUGUGCACAGUGCUUAGUACCAAGUGCCACUUAUGUGUUUGUGUUCAAAAUACAGUGAUUUUUGUCACUGAUGCAUGGCAAGCAAUAAACAGUAAGCCAAUUCAGAAUUGUUUUGCUUACUGCAGUUUCAACCAUUCAGGCUUGAAGAUGCUUGAGAUGGCUGGGAGUGAAAAUGAAAUGAUUUCACUACUUUAACAAGUAGUGACAACAAGUAUUGAAAAUCAUCUUGAAUGUUACAAUGAAAAUGAGGAUUUGAAGCACUGUUUGAAAGCACUAGGUUUCUGCACGGAUUUUGUUCUUUUGACUGACUAAAUGAACAUGUCAGCAUGCACUGAAUGACUUCCUCUGUCAAUAACAAUUACAAAGCAACACACAGUUUUAUAGUACAGUAUUAGUAUUGGUAGCAUUCUAAUUUGUUCUGUAUUUCAUUUAAAUACAUAAUUUGUUACUCAGUCAAAUGGUAGUUUGGCUUUUUUUAUACCCUUUUGACAAUUUCCAUUAAUUUUCAGCUAAUUGGGGCAGCCACUUAACUAGGGCAAAAUGCACUGGUGCCAUAUUCCUGUGGAACACUGCCCACUGGCUACUGCAGACAAGACUGCUGCAUUCAAUCUCACUUAUUAACCUCAAUUACAAUAAACCAGUGGGUUUUGUGAUCUGUUGUACCUGUGGUGGCUUUUGAAAGAACAUUUAAUUUAGUUCCAAUCAUAUAUAAUCGAAGUAUUGAGUAUAAGAACUGGAAUGUUAUGAUGAGGUUGUAUAAGGCAUUGGUGAGGCUGAAUCUGGAGUAUUGUGUUCAGUUUUGGUCACCAAAUUACAGGAAGGAUAUAAAUAAGGUUGAAAGAGUGCAGAGAAGGUUUACAAGGAUGUUGCCGGGACUUGAGAAACUCAGUUACAGAGAAAGGUUGAAUAGGUUAGGACUUUAUUCCCUGGAGCGUAGAAGAAUGAGGGGAGAUUUGAUAGAGGUAUAUAAAAUUAUGAUGGGUAUAGAUAGAGUGAAUGCAAGCAGGC